UACGUAGGGGGCGAGCGUUGUCCGGAUUUAUUGGGCGUAAAGAGCGUGUAGGCGGCCAGGUAGGUCUGCUGUGAAAACUCGAGGCUCAACCUCGAGACGUCGGCGGAAACCAUCUGGCUAGAGUCCGGAAGAGGAGAGUGGAAUUCCUGGUGUAGCGGUGAAAUGCGCAGAUAUCAGGAAGAACACCAGUGGCGAAGGCGGCUCUCUGGGACGGUACUGACGCUGAGACGCGAAAGCGUGGGGAGCGAACAGG
rnacentral:rRNA from 1 species